GCAUAACGCGAAGAACCUUACCCAGGUUUGACAUGCUUUCGACCGGCGUUGAAAGACGCCUUUCCUUCGGGACGGAAGCACAGAUGCUGCAUGGCUGUCGUCAGCUCGUGCCGUGAGGUGUUCGGUUAAGUCCGGCAACGAGCGCAACCCGUACUGCCAGUUACCAUCAAGUAAUGUUGGGGACUCUGGCGGGACUGCCCGUGUCAAGCGGGAGGAAGGCGCGGAUGACGUCAAGUCCGUAUGGCUCUUACACCUGGGGCCGCAAACGUGCUACAAUGGCGGGUACAAUGGGCUGCUGCAUCGCGAGAUGUGGCGAACCUCCAAAACCCGCCCCAGUUCGGAUUGCAGCCUGCAACUCGGCUGCAUGAAGUCGGAAUCGCUAGUAAAGGGACAUCAGCUACGGUCCCUUGAAUACGUUCCCGGGUCUUGUACACACCG
rnacentral:rRNA from 1 species